CCUACGGGAGGCAGCAGUGAGGAAUAUUGGUCAAUGGACGAGAGUCUGAACCAGCCAAGUAGCGUGAAGGAUGACUGCCCUAUGGGUUGUAAACUUCUUUUAUAUGGGAAUAAAACGUUCCACGUGUGGGAUUUUGUAUGUACCAUAUGAAUAAGGAUCGGCUAACUCCGUGCCAGCAGCCGCGGUAAUACGGAGGAUCCGAGCGUUAUCCGGAGUUAUUGGGUUUAAAGGGAGCGUAGGUGGAUUGUUAAGUCAGUUGUGAAAGUUUGCGGCUCAACCGUAAAAUUGCAGUUGAAACUGGCAGUCUUGAGUACAGUAGAGGUGGGCGGAAUUCGUGGUGUAGCGGUGAAAUGCUUAGAUAUCACGAAGAACUCCGAUUGCGAAGGCAGUUCACUGGACUGCAACUGACACUGAGGCUCGAAAGUGUGGGUAUCAAACAGGAUUAGAUACCCUUGUAGUC
rnacentral:rRNA from 1 species